rnacentral:rRNA from 1 species
UGGGGAAUUUUGGACAAUGGGCGAAAGCCUGAUCCAGCAAUGCCGCGUGUGUGAAGAAGGCCUUCGGGUUGUAAAGCACUUUUGUCCGGAAAGAAAUCCUUGGCUCUAAUACAGUCGGGGGAUGACGGUACCGGAAGAAUAAGCACCGGCUAACUACGUGCCAGCAGCCGCGGUAAUACGUAGGGUGCAAGCGUUAAUCGGAAUUACUGGGCGUAAAGCGUGCGCAGGCGGUUUGCUAAGACCGAUGUGAAAUCCCCGGGCUCAACCUGGGAACUGCAUUGGUGACUGGCAGGCUAGAGUGUGGCAGAGGGGGGUAGAAUUCCACGUGUAGCAGUGAAAUGCGUAGAGAUGUGGAGGAAUACCGAUGGCGAAGGCAGCCCCCUGGGCCAAUACUGACGCUCAUGCACGAAAGCGUGGGGAGCAAACAGGAUUAGAUACCCUGGUAGUCCACGCCCUAAACGAUGUCAACUAGUUGUUGGGGAUUCAUUUCCUUAGUAACGUAGCUAACGCGUGAAGUUGACCGCCUGGGGAGUACGGUCGCAAGAUUAAAACUUAAAGGAAUUGACGGGGUCAUAGCUGUUUCCU